rnacentral:lncRNA from 10 species
AAACACACCUCAUCCUUCACACACACAACAUGCUCAACCUUCACUAGCCACGUGACUUUCUUUCUCACAUCAUCCUGAAUUUGCUUUUCUGAAAUUUACUUUUCAAUCUUCUGACUUUUCUUCAUACCUAAGAAGACUGGACAAAGUGCUUGAAAAGCAAAUGGAAACAUUUUAUGAAUAACUACGCAAAGGAAAGACAUAUAAAUAUUUUUAAAGUUUCCCUUCUACAGAAAUGAGCUUAAGUCAACACUACAGUUGCCACUAAGUGUAAGGAUUCGUGAAGGGGAAAACGACGGACUCCCUUCCCUCUGUUCUUCUCAAGUAAUGCAAAUUAGAGUGCCUGGAAUAAGGGGACCAAGGCCUGAGAUCAAGGAUAAAGUGGUGUCCGCCAACAACCUCUUGUUUGUGUUUUGAUCACCAUCAUUAUUCUAAUAAAGGAAGCUGAAAGUUGUAUUAC